CAAUUCUUUUUCUGCCAAAAGGAAAUUACUCCCAGCCUAAUUCUGCCCAUAUGAUCCGACCCCAUCAUCUCUUCUCCAUUUUCCAUUCUUCUUCACGCGUAGCUCAGGUACGAAGAAACCCAGAAACUCGACCCGACUCGCUCUCCAGCACGCAAACCGGAAUCUACUCCAGCAUUGUGUCUCUCUUCCACCCUUAUCCUCUUCUCCGUACAAAGCCGUUUGGAGGAUAGCCAGGUGUCUCAAUCUUGUGUUUCAUCCGUCCUUGCUCCUCAUAUCGAACGAAUCUCCUUGAUAUUCUAUUGGAGAGUCGUACUUUUUCCAGCUUUCAACUUUAUCCCCUUCAGCAAAUUCAAAUUUCAAAUUGGAAUUCACCAAUUGCUUCACUCAUCCCCCCCCCCCCCCCAAAACCCCCCCCAAAAAAAAACUAAAAAUCUCCUAUAAAUACUGCUCUUCUUCGCUGAUUAAGGAGAGGAAGAAUUCGGUUUUAAAAAUACAUCAACAAGAAAGAAUACAAACAAAAAAAUCCAAUAGAUAAAAUAUAGGAGAUAUAUAUUCUUUUGUUCACUGCUUAUAAAGCUGGUCGGAGCCUUUUGUGGUGGUGGAAGCUCUUCUGUGGUCAUCUGCCUCAGUCCGCUGCCUCGAGAAAGACUCUUAUCACUUCUUCUUGCAUCUCGAGUUCGUUCAAAAUCCGAUUCUCGUCUUGAGUCUACCCCCUCGACAAGCUCCAAAACUGAUAGGCAGGUUGAGGUCAAUAAAUGUAGGCUGGAAAUUAAUUUUGCAGGUCUCAAAAGGCCCAAAAGAGGGCAGUAUACAUGAAGUAUACCGUUGUAUACACAAGUAUACACGAAAAGAAUCGUUAUAUACAGGUCUGAACUGAUAAAACAGAUGAUGGAAGUCUGAAAUGGGCAGCAUACACUCAGCAUACAUCCUAAUACACGGAAAUGAGUCUAAAUACGUAUUGUAUACACCCAUAUACAUUUGAUGUAUACACAGAUUUAAGCAUGGGGAAGGAAGGAACAUAGGGCUAGAAGUCCAAAAAUUCCAGCAAGCCAACAUGCCCAAAAUGUGGCAAGAUCAAUUUUUGGGUCACUUUAAAUUUAGGACAUGUUUUAAUAUUUGAGUAUUAUAUAUAUAUAUAAUACUCUCUUCCUUUUAACUUAUUUUUUUGUAUUAUUUUGACUAGCUUGUCUUAUUCUAUGGUUUAAUUUAA